rnacentral:rRNA from 1 species
CCGCCAGACUCCUACGGGAGGCAGCAGUGGGGAAUAUUGCACAAUGGGGGAAACCCUGAUGCAGCGACGCCGCGUGAGCGAUGAAGUAUUUCGGUAUGUAAAGCUCUAUCAGCAGGGAAGAAGAUGACGGUACCUGACUAAGAAGCCCCGACUAACUACGUGCCAGCAGCCGCGGUAAUACGUAGGGGGCAAGCGUUAUCCGGAUUUACUGGGUGUAAAGGGAGCGUAGACGGCGAUGCAAGCCAGAUGUGAAAGCCCGUGGCUCAACCCCGGGACUGCAUUUGGAACUGUGUGGCUGGAGUGUCGGAGAGGCAGGCGGAAUUCCUAGUGUAGCGGUGAAAUGCGUAGAUAUUAGGAGGAACACCAGUGGCGAAGGCGGCCUGCUGGACGAUGACUGACGUUGAGGCUCGAAAGCGUGGGGAGCAAACAGGAUUAGAUACCCUAGUAA